GAUGAACGCUGGCGGCGUGCCUAAUACAUGCAAGUCGAGCGAACGGACGAGAAGCUUGCUUCUCUGACGUUAGCGGCGGACGGGUGAGUAACACGUGGAUAACCUACCUAUAAGACUGGGAUAACUUCGGGAAACCGGAGCUAAUACCGGAUAAUAUUUUGAACCGCAUGGUUCAAUAGUGAAAGACGGUUUUGCUGUCACUUAUAGAUGGAUCCGCGCUGCAUUAGCUAGUUGGUAAGGUAACGGCUUACCAAGGCAACGAUGCAUAGCCGACCUGAGAGGGUGAUCGGCCACACUGGAACUGAGACACGGUCCAGACUCCUACGGGAGGCAGCAGUAGGGAAUCUUCCGCAAUGGGCGAAAGCCUGACGGAGCAACGCCGCGUGAGUGAUGAAGGUCUUCGGAUCGUAAAACUCUGUUAUUAGGGAAGAACAAAUGUGUAAGUAACUGUGCACGUCUUGACGGUACCUAAUCAGAAAGCCACGGCUAACUACGUG
rnacentral:rRNA from 1 species